CUUUUCAUGAUCAAAAAGGGAUAUACGAAAUUUUCUAAAAUGCGCUGAUUUUCAUUUUAUAUUUAGAAUAACAAAAAAGUAAAAUCAGUAAGAGACAGAAACGAAAAAAGGUCUGUUUUUCAUUUUCUGAGACCGGAAGUGGUCAUCAGCAAGUGUGGAGCUAAACGGAGUACGGUGCAGAGACUGAAUUUUUUUUCGUUAGUUUUCAUGGUCAAAAUGAGAGAUCAGGUGGCCGAUCUUAAAAUAAAUCAAUAUUGAAUUUUUUUAUAGAGCUUUAAAGUUUUGCGAAGCCAGGGGGCGGGACUACUUGAUUGACAGUCCGGUCUGGAAUGAUUGACAGCUCUAUGGAGGAGGCAGCAGAGAUUCUGCUCUCCUCGUUUGGAUUAAUUCUGAUAUAAUAACUGUUGGUUUAUUUAUCGGAGGAGCAGCAGAACAUUUUCCACAGACAGUUUUCCUGCCCGUUGGCUUGUUUGAACCAGUUUUCUACCUUCGGCUGAUUCUACCAGCAGACACUGAAAGGACUCUGAUAGUUCGAGUGAAAGUAGCAGUUCCUCCUGAAGGUCAGAGAUUGCAGCAUCUGAGGGCCUCUUCAAAAGAAGACGUAGUUGAUGAAGGCGUUCUGGAGCAGGACCAGAAAGACCACGACCAAGCAGCCUUGAGAUCUUAGGCAGCGUCUCCCUCAGGUCCCUCUCUAUCUCCCCACACAUCCACCAACCACUGGAACACAUCUCCAAAGUUCUGCUGGACCAGCUCAGCUUCCCCUCAGAAGAAGUGCCACCACCUGCCAGAUGAAGGAGCCUUUUGAGAGGCAGCUAGCAUCGUGAUUGGACUGUACUUUGGUCUGUUCCAAUCCAGCUUCAGCUCCAGAGACGGCAGGCGGAACGAGUCAACGGAGGCCCGGUGGAUGAAGGCAUGCAGCUGAGUAGCAUCACCAAAGAACUACAGACUCUUCACAACCUGCUAAAACUCUUGGUACAGGACCUCACCACACGGGUCAAGAAGGUUUCCGUCUCAUUUCUACUCUGAAGCUCACCUUCUCCUGCUCAAACUGCUGACAAAUGUUUCUGCUGCUCUAAAGUCUGCUCUCCAGAACUUCCUAAAAACUCUCAAAGUCUCUUCUGCUGCAGGUUGCUUUGUAGAACUGUUCCAGAAAACCUCACUAAACCACAUGGAGGGGCCUCAAGAUAGUCGUCCAAAUGAAACCAUACAAAAACCAAACUAGCACAACCCAAACGCUAAAGUCUCCUGCAGCCUACCAGAGAAGCCUCUGAGAACAGAGAAUCAGGACAGGAACUCUUACCUUCUGGACAACCAACGUUGGUUCACUACAAGAAUACAGAAUGUGUCUGACCAAAAACCUCCGAAGACUCACUACAGCCAAGAUAAAGAUACAACUCACCUGCACCAAAUCCACUAAUCACUGCACACAUUAGCACCAUGUGCUGACUGUGGCUAAAGAACCUCAUUUACCAAGACAACUAUCCAGUACAAAGCCCUAAAACACACCAAGAAACACAUUAAAGACGAUU